CCCAGACUCCUACGGGAGGCAGCAGUGGGGAAUAUUGCACAAUGGGGGAAACCAUGAUGCAGCGACGCCGCGUGAGUGAAGAAGUAUUUCGGUAUGUAAAGCUCUAUCAGCAGGGAAGAAAAUGACGGUACCUGACUAAGAAGCCCCGGCUAACUACGUGCCAGCAGCCGCGGUAAUACGUAGGGGGCAAGCGUUAUCCGGAUUUACUGGGUGUAAAGGGAGCGUAGGUGGCAUGGUAAGCCAGAAGUGAAAACCCGGGGCUCAACCCCGCGGAUUGCUUUUGGAACUAUCAGGCUGGAGUGCUGGAGGGGUAAGCGGAAUUCCUAGUGUAGCGGUGAAAUGCGUAGAUAUUAGGAGGAACACCGGUGGCGAAGGCGGCUUACUGGACAGAAACUGACACUGAGGCUCGAAAGCGUGGGGAGCAAACAGGAUUAGAUACCCCCGUA
rnacentral:rRNA from 1 species